UGCAUAGCUAUUGGAUGAGGCAGGAAGGGACCCCAGUGAAGUGAGGAGCAGAGUUAGGAAAGAAGGCAUCAUGUGUACAGCACAGGGAUGGAACCGACUCUAACGAGUUAGGUCAUGUUGAUAACUAGCAAGAAAACUGUGGAUAGGAAGGGUAAGAUGAAAUUCUGUUUACUCUUAAAGCUAGACAGGGAAUUCUUAUGAAAGGACAAUUUUAAAAAAUCCAAGUAAAUGGUACAUGAAUUCUCCUUGGCUUCAGAGCACAUGGACAAUGAUUAAUUGCAGCAAUAUCAUAUGAAAUCACCAUUCUGUAGGUCAAAAAUUGUCAAAUAUCUGCAAUUUCUUAUGAUUCACCUUAAAAGAAGUGUAGAGGCUCAAUAUUACUCUAGUGUGACCAUUUCAUUAGCCACGGCACAUUUUUUUUAAGAAUAUAUUUUCAGUGAAUCUUUUAAAGCUCAUUUUAUGCCUGCCUUUAUUUAAACUCGAUAUUCUUUGGCAAAAAUGCCGGAGUAGACUUUGCAAGUCCUGUUUUCUUGGAAACAGAUGAUUGCUCACCUUUGAGGUUUGUCUUGAGAAUGUGCUCUCUGAUCUUCUUAGAGUUUAGUGCAUAAUCAGUUUUUCUUCUUUUUUUUCCUGGCUCAGCAAAUUUUCCAAGCUAGGUUUUUCUAGUUUUGGAGUAUUUGGAAAAAAGCAAGUGACUUUCUAGUCAGGGAGUCCGAAGGUCACAUCCGGAGCCAACCGCAUGUCAAGUUUAAUCUCCUGGCCUUUACAACUAUUAAUAUUUACUCAUGAUGUCUUCUGGACAUCUACAAAAUUUUAGUCCACACUGUACAAUUAGGAAACAAAUUAUAUACUGCUUUUUUAAUCUAUUUUUUUUAACAGGAGUGGCUUUGGUUUCUUUUUUAAU
rnacentral:lncRNA from 1 species